AGUGAACGCUGGCGGUAGGUCUAACACAUGCAAGUCGAACGGCAGCACAGUAAGAGCUUGCUCUUACGGGUGGCGAGUGGCGGACGGGUGAGGAAUACAUCGGAAUCUACCUUUUCGUGGGGGAUAACGUAGGGAAACUUACGCUAAUACCGCAUACGACCUACGGGUGAAAGCAGGGGAUCUUCGGACCUUGCGCGAUUGAAUGAGCCGAUGUCGGAUUAGCUAGUUGGCGGGGUAAAGGCCCACCAAGGCGACGAUCCGUAGCUGGUCUGAGAGGAUGAUCAGCCACACUGGAACUGAGACACGGUCCAGACUCCUACGGGAGGCAGCAGUGGGGAAUAUUGGACAAUGGGCGCAAGCCUGAUCCAGCCAUACCGCGUGGGUGAAGAAGGCCUUCGGGUUGUAAAGCCCUUUUGUUGGGAAAGAAAAGCAGCAGGUUAAUACCCCGCUGUUCUGACGGUACCCAAAGAAUAAGCACCGGCUAACUUCGUG
rnacentral:rRNA from 1 species